rnacentral:rRNA from 1 species
GACGAACGCUGGCGGCGUGCCUAAUACAUGCAAGUCGAACGCACUCUCGUUUAGAUUGAAGGAGCUUGCUCCUGAUUGAUAAACAUUUGAGUGAGUGGCGGACGGGUGAGUAACACGUGGGUAACCUGCCCUAAAGUGGGGGAUAACAUUUGGAAACAGAUGCUAAUACCGCAUAAAACCUAAACACCGCAUGGUGUAGGGUUGAAAGAUGGUUUCGGCUAUCACUUUAGGAUGGACCCGCGGUGCAUUAGUUAGUUGGUGAGGUAAAGGCUCACCAAGACCGUGAUGCAUAGCCGACCUGAGAGGGUAAUCGGCCACACUGGGACUGAGACACGGCCCAGACUCCUACGGGAGGCAGCAGUAGGGAAUCUUCCCACAAUGGACGAAAGUCUGAUGGAGCAACGCCGCGUGAGUGAAGAAGGUUUUCGGAUCGUAAAACUCUGUUGUUGGAGAAGAAUGUAUCUGAUAGUAACUGAUCAGGUAGUGACGGUAUCC